UAGGAGAUUUCAAUAUGUAAACAAUGCCAUAUUUAAUACUAUAUGAAAGUACUCUGGAUAGAUAAAUGCAUUUCACAUAUGCAGAUAUAUUAGUCAUUCGUAUUGUGUCGAAAUAUAUAACCUCGUAAUAUUGUUUGUAUGUUAGAGUAGAAACAUACUUCCAUUAUUAUUUUAAACAACUCAAGAUGGAUUUGGAAUAGCAGAAAUCAAAAUUAGAAAUUUCCUAAAAUUUGCAUAACGUUCUGAAAAUGCAUUGAUUGGUGAUGCUUUAACUUAAACUAAUCCUUACACAAACUUUUUGGUAUAAUAUUAUAAUAAUGAUGUAAAAAUAUAAUCAUAUAUAGACUGGAGGUAAUAGUUUUAAAAAAGUUAUUUGUAAUGCGUUUUACUGAGCGUAAUCAAAAGCGACAAACAUAUUUUAAUCUUUUUAGUGUAAUAGUAUAUGAUAAUCUGUUUCAAUAGUACACCCCCGCAAGCUACAAAGUUUCAUUAAUUAUUUUCUUUAGUAUAUACAAAGUUUCUAAGUUUUGACAGAAUUUUGGACAUAAAUGUUAAUUUAUUUUGAUAGAAAUUUAUACUACAUUUAGAGAAGAAAUCAAAAUUCUUUUUGAGAUAAUUUUUAGU
rnacentral:lncRNA from 1 species